UACGGAAGGCAGCAGUGGGGAAUAUUGCACAAUGGGCGCAAGCCUGAUGCAGCCAUGCCGCGUGUAUGAAGAAGGCCUUCGGGUUGUAAAGUACUUUCAGUCGUGAGGAAGGUGUUAAGGUUAAUAACCUUAGCAAUUGACGUUAGCGACAGAAGAAGCACCGGCUAACUCCGUGCCAGCAGCCGCGGUAAUACGGAGGGUGCGAGCGUUAAUCGGAAUUACUGGGCGUAAAGGGCACGCAGGCGGUUAAUUAAGUUGGAUGUGAAAUCCCCGGGCUUAACCUGGGAAUGGCAUUCAAGACUGGUUAGCUAGAGUCUUGUAGAGGGGGUAGAAUUCCAUGUGUAGCGGUGAAAUGCGUAGAGAUGUGGAGGAAUACCGGUGGCGAAGGCGGCCCCUGGACGAAAGAACUGACGCUCAUGUGCGAAAGCGUGGGGAGGCAAACAGGGAUUAGAUACC
rnacentral:rRNA from 1 species